UUAAAUUAAUGAGUGCAACUAUGUCAUAUCCAUUUGAGCUAGUGAACACUAACCGUGAAAGUGCACGCGUAAGCUGACAGUUGAAAUUUUUUGCACAUUUAUACAUGAAAGGUGAUCCUUGUUGGCAUUUCCUGAGUCACAAUUAAUCCUUUGAACUUAAGUUAGGUCAAGGUACUUUGUUAUUUUGCUGUGUGACAUCUAAACUUAAAGCUCGAGAUCUCUGACCUAAUAAGGUUUGAAAUCAUGGAAACAGCUUGGUGAGAGCAUGGCGAAUUAAGCGAAAGGCAAAGCGUGACUGGGUAAGAGUCAAGACUAUGGAGAAAGUGGGGCACGUGUUACAGGAGAAUCUACUACUAGGAUUAUAGUCUGCAAAUGACAAUACGGAAUCAUAGCAAGAUAGGGGAGGAGAAUGCAGUACAAGGAGAGGGCAAUCAUUUAGAAGGAACAGACAAGGCAACUCAAGCUGAGCAUGCGGCCAACUACUGUGAAUUGGUUGACCUUACAACUAAAGGAUAAUAAGAGACUAAAUGAAGACUUUGAGGCUAGACUAAGUUCUGAGCAAGUCAUUAAGGAGGCUAGUGCACAAGAGUAUAUGGCACAUUAUGGUGACCUUGAGGCACAUUCCCUAUACCUAAUGAGAAGGAAAUGAGGACAUCCAGGCAAAAUUCUUCCACGGGUGCAAUUGGUUCAAGGAGGAUCCCGUUUAAUGGUGCAGGCACCUUUAGUAUACAGCCUUCAUAGAUCCCAUUCAAACCCCUAGGACUCAAGUGGAAUGGACAACCUUGUGACAAGCUCUCAUCUAUUAGCAAAAUGAGAAAAGAGAAUUAGAAAGACAAAAAGCCAAGUCAAGGAGGGUUGAUAUUUAGAUUGUCUUACAUUAUAUGUUUUGAUUUUACAAUACUCAUGUUGAAUUGAUCAUAACUUUUAUCUUGUGUACUUAGGUUGUGUAUUUUGUAACACCCAUGCUGUGUAUUUAGAUUGUCUUGCAUUACAUGAUGGGUUCA